GAUGAACGCUGGCGGCGUGCUUAACACAUGCAAGUCGAACGGGAAUUAUUUUAUUGAAACUUCGGUCGAUUUAAUUUAAUUCUAGUGGCGGACGGGUGAGUAACGCGUGGGUAACCUGCCUUAUACAGGGGGAUAACAGUCAGAAAUGGCUGCUAAUACCGCAUAAGCGCACAGAGCUGCAUGGCUCAGUGUGAAAAACUCCGGUGGUAUAAGAUGGACCCGCGUUGGAUUAGCUGGUUGGUGGGGUAACGGCCCACCAAGGCGACGAUCCAUAGCCGGCCUGAGAGGGUGAACGGCCACAGUGGGACUGAGACACGGCCCAGACUCCUACGGGAGGCAGCAGUGGGGAAUAUUGCACAAUGGGGGAAACCCUGAUGCAGCGACGCCGCGUGAAGGAAGAAGUAUCUCGGUAUGUAAACCUCUAUCAGCAGGGAAGAUAGUGACGGUACCUGACUAAGAAGCCCCGGCUAACUACGUG
rnacentral:rRNA from 1 species